AAAACUACAGAACUGCUGAUUUAUUUCAUGAAAGAACUGACUAAAUGGCUCUGGGUGAUCAUGGAACUGUGGGGAUUCUCCUUUAGCCUGGAUUAAGCAUGGAAAACUUUGCAGCCUUUUGAUAACAGCAGCAGUGAUUCCCUGUGUUAUCUUCAUCUCCUUACUUGGGAUAACUGGACUUUAAGUGGCUUUGCAAAAUGUGCUGAAUGAGCAGCGAGUCCUAAACUCACCCAGGUGAAUGGAUUUUCAGAGGAAAAGGCCUGGGUACCUCUGAGGAGCUGCAGCAGCGUCAC